GGAAUCUUCGGCAAUGGGGGCAACCCUGACCGAGCAACGCCGCGUGAGUGAAGAAGGUUUUCGGAUCGUAAAGCUCUGUUGUAAGAGAAGAACGUGUGUGAGAGUGGAAAGUUCACACAGUGACGGUAACUUACCAGAAAGGGACGACUAACUACGUGCCAG
rnacentral:rRNA from 1 species